CAAGCACAUUGACCAUGGACAUGACCAUCAUGACCAUCAUGACCACCACGACCACCAUGGGCACGAUGACGGAUGGAGCGGCGGUUUUCCCGGAAAUCAAUUCGAAUUCGGAGGUGGAUGGUCGGGCGGUGAUUUUGGCAGUGUCGGUGAUUUUGGUGGUGUGUAUGAUGGUGCUUUCGACAGUGGCAGCUAUGAAAAUAAUAACUUUGGCAGUCUCGGAUGGGAUGAUAAAUAAAGCGACUCUUUCCUUCUUCGUCAAUUUCCUAUGUACUGAAA